rnacentral:rRNA from 1 species
UACGGAGGGGGGCGAGCGUUAUUCGGAAUUAUUGGGCGUAAAGGGCGCGUAGGCGCCCGGUAAGUCAAAGGUGAAAUCCCUCGGCUCAACUGAGGAACUGCCUUUGAAACUGUCGGGCUUGAGGCCGGGAGGGGGUAGCGGAAUUCCCAGUGUAGCGGUGAAAUGCGUAGAUAUUGGGAGGAACACCGGUGGCGAAGGCGGCUACCUGGACCGGUUCUGACGCUGAUGCGCGAAAGCGUGGGGAGCGAACGAGG